GUCGAGAAUCUUUCACAAUGGGGGCAACCCUGAUGGAGCGACGCCGCGUGGAGGAUAAGGUCUUCGGAUUGUAAACUCCUGUCAUGCGUGAACAAGGUUGCUUGGUUAAUACCUGGGCAAAUUGAUGGUAACGCAAGAGGAAGAGACGGCUAACUCUGUGCCAGCAGCCGCGGUAAUACAGAGGUCUCAAGCGUUGUUCGGAAUCACUGGGCGUAAAGGGUGCGUAGGUGGCGUGGUAAGUCAGAUGUGAAAGCCCGGGGCUCAACCUCGGAACUGCAUCCGAUACUGCCAUGCUAGAGUACUGGAGAGGUGACUAGAAUUCUUGGUGUAGCAGUGAAAUGCGUAGAUAUCGAGAGGAAUACCAAAGGCGUAGGCAGGUCACUGGACAGUUACUGACACUGAGGCACGAAGGCCAGGGGAGCGAACGGGAUUAGAUACCCGAGUAGUCC
rnacentral:rRNA from 1 species